CACUGGCUAACUAACUACUGUCUGAAGC
rnacentral:piRNA from 1 species